UACAGAGACCUCAAGCGUUAUCCGGAUUUAUUGGGCGUAAAGCGUCCGCAGGUGUUCUGUCGCAUCUCUGGUAAAAUUCUUUGGCUCAACCAAAGAUCUGCCGGGGAGAUGGACAGAAUUGAGUAUGGAAGAGGUGAGCGGAAUUCUCGGUGUAGUCGUAAUAAGCGUUGAUAUCGAGAAGAACACCAAAUGCGAAGGCAGCUCACUGGUACAUUACUGACACUCAGGGACGAAAGCGUGGGGAG
rnacentral:rRNA from 1 species